rnacentral:pre_miRNA from 1 species
CAUGCACCAGUGGGGUCCCUCGGCCUGGCCUACACCCUCUCACAAUCCGGGACCUCUCGGGGGAUGUCGGAGAGCUAUUUUCAGCCUGAUCCCGCAGGCCAGGCCGAGGGACUCCACUGGUGCAUG